UGGGGAAUUUUGGACAAUGGGCGAAAGCCUGAUCCAGCAAUGCCGCGUGUGUGAAGAAGGCCUUCGGGUUGUAAAGCACUUUUGUCCGGAAAGAAAUCCUUGGCUCUAAUACAGUCGGGGGAUGACGGUACCGGAAGAAUAAGCACCGGCUAACUACGUGCCAGCAGCCGCGGUAAUACGUAGGGUGCAAGCGUUAAUCGGAAUUACUGGGCGUAAAGCGUGCGCAGGCGGUUUGCUAAGACCGAUGUGAAAUCCCCGGGCUCAACCUGGGAACUGCAUUGGUGACUGGCAGGCUAGAGUAUGGCAGAGGGGGGUAGAAUUCCACGUGUAGCAGCGAAAUGCGUAGAGAUGUGGAGGAAUACCGAUGGCGAAGGCAGCCCCCUGGGCCAAUACUGACGCUCAUGCACGAAAGCGUGGGGAGCAAACAGGAUUAGAUACCCGUGGUAGUCCAGCGCCCUAAAACGAUGUCAACUAGUUGUUGGGGAUUCAUUUCCUUAGUAACGUAGCUAACGCGUGAAGUUGACCGCCUGGGGAGUACGGUCGCAAGAUUAAAACUCAAAGGAAUUGACGGGGUCAUAGCUGUUUCCU
rnacentral:rRNA from 1 species